rnacentral:lncRNA from 1 species
CUGAAGCAGAAUGAGAAUUCGAAAAUGUAACUACUAUUGCUAAAUGUCACCAAUUUCAGAAUAUGUCUGAAUAUUUGGCAGCUGAUAUGAAAUUCAUAUUGGUCCUCAGAGAUUUAAAAUAAAAGAAGCAAAUUACAUGCGAAGCUAAAAAGGGAAGUAUUUAUAUUUCCACAUUUUGGUAAGGAAAAGGCAGAUGGCUUGUGCACUCUGUAAAUGUGAAAAAGUUGCACUAUUUAAUAGUUUAGCAAGAAUAGAAAGUAAAUGAAGUAACAAUGUGAAAAGUGGUCUCAAUAAAGUUCAUCAAACCAUUGGUAUCUUUGAUGAUAAUUCAUGAUAAUGAUGGUAUAACAAUUGUGCAGAGUAAAUAAGGGGAAAAAAAAAUGAAUGUUUCCAUCAUGGAUUCUGCCUUCAAAAAGGACAUAGUAAAUAGCUGAAUCCGUAGGUAUCCUGAAUUUAUCUGCUUGUACUCCAUGUCAUUUUCUACUUUCUCUGCAUUCCCCCAAAGACCUUAAAUACCUAAUAGUACUUAGCUGGUACUUUCAAGUUUAUAGAGGUUUGUUGAUAACAGGAGAGUAUGCCCAACAAAAACUAGAUGGAGAGAUAUAAAUGGCGUGAUAAAUUUCCUUGAUAUAUUUCUUCUCCAGAGAGAGUUGUCAAAAUUAGCAUUUGGCAGUUCAUAUCCCUCUUGUACUGAACCAAUCUGAGAAUUGAGGCCUAAAUGCAGGCCUCACCGCAUCCCCCACCCAAUGGCCUGAGGUAUAUCUCCUGCCUCCACUAGUCCUCCUGGACCCAAGGGCCCCAGUGGCUCCCCUGGUCCCAAGGGUGACAGUGGUGGAUCUGGUGCUCCCAGCAACAAAGGAGACACUGGCACCAAGGGAGAGCCUGGCCCCACUGGUGUUCAAGGCCCUGCUAGUCCUUGUGGAAAUGAUGGUGCUACUGGUGCUGUUGGACCCCCUAUCUCACUGGUCCUGCUGAUGCUUCUGGCUUCCUUGGUGCUGCUGGUGCUAAGGGUGAAGCCAGCGUACAAGGACCUGGAGGCUAAAGGCACCAACAGUGCCCCUGGUGUUGCUGGUGCUCCUGGCCCCUCCGGACCCCAGAGCCCUAGCAGCUCCCUCCAGUUCCAAGGGUAACAUGUUGCUCCUGGCAACAAAGGAGACACUGGAGCCAAGGAAGAGCCUGAAUCCACUGCUUUUUUUAAGGCCCCUCUGGCCCUGCUGGAGAAGAAGGAAAGCAAGGAACCUCAGGUAAACCUGGACUUGCAGGCCUGAGUGGACUCCCUAGUGAGUGUGGUGGAUCUGGUAACCAUGGUUUCCCUGGCACCAAUGGUAUUGCUGGUCCCAAGGGUCCUGCUGGUGCAUGUGGUUCUCCUGCCCCUGCUGGUCCCAAAUGUUCUCCAUGUGUGGCUGGUCACCCUGGUGAAACUGGUCUACCUGGUGCCAAGAAUCUGACUGAAAGCCCUGGCAGCUGUGGUUCUGAUGGCAACACUGUCCAUCCCCCCUUCCACCCUGCCACAGCCCCCGCCCCUCUGGUCAAGACUGUUGCCCUGGACGCCCAGACCUUCCUGGUGCGUGUGCUUGUGGUCAGGCUGAUGUGAUGGGUUUCCCUGGGCCUAAAGGUGCUCCUGGAGAGCCUGGCAAAGCUGGAGAGCAAGUUAUUCCUGGACACCCUGGCACUAUUGGUUCUGCUGGCAAAGAUGGAAAAGCUGGAGCUCAGGGACCCCUGGGACCUUCUGGCCCCACUGGUAAGAAAGGAUCCCCCAGAGCCAUCCCUAUCAAAAUGAAUCAUUUUGGAUAAUGGCUUUUCUUCUUUCAUGUAAUGGUUUAAUCUAUAGAUUUAAAAUGUGUAAAUAACUUAGCUUUUUAAAUUUCUUCUUAAGUUCAGUUAGUUAGUCAUGAGCUGCACUGAAAAAAUUAAAUCUUGAAGCAAUAGCAACCAUUGGCUUGAGCUUUUCAUCAGGCUUUAAAAAAAACCAAACUUACCAGACACAAUAGAGUAUAUACUAGAGUAUAUACAUAUAAAUUGUGCUAUAAUUCGCUAAAGUCUGUUACCAAAUGAAAGUUCCUAUGCCCACAUAGUGAGGCCAAACAUACAGAAACAGAGUUUGGAGCAGAUUCAUUCUAAGGUCAAGAAAGGAGAAAGAGUGGCUCCUUCAAAGAACCCAAACUCUCCAAAGCGUUUCACAUCAGAAAGUCUGUCUGGGGGCUACAUGCUCAGGGUCAUCAACUAGUUAAUUUCUUCCAUUUUUUUUGGUGGUUCUAGCAUCUGAAAAAUUCAGGAAAUAUGUAUGAGAUACUGUAUCUAAGUACUUCAGAAAGGAACUAAAGCAAAGAUAUGGGGGAGGGGUCUUUCCUGGGAAAGUCCCAUAGGCUCCUACUAGGUUACAUGCGUGCCCAGUGGAAAAGAGGUUUCUGAGAGUUUCCCUACCUGAGCUGUCAACACUGAGAAUCUGAAGUGAUAUUUCUGGGCUCUGAGUCCUGUCUGUGCCACUUUCUUAUUGUAAGAAUCUGAGCAAGAAAGUUAAUUUUUUAUGCUUCAUUUCACUCUCUCCAACAUGGGGGAAAUUGUACCUAUCUCAUAGGGUUGAUGAAAGGCUUAAAUAGGUUAAUAUCUGGAAUAUUAUUACAAGAGAGCCUGGGUCAUGUUGAGUAAGGUGUAAGUGAUAGCUAAAUGAAACAUUGGUUAAAUCCGGAAAAAUUUUUUUCAGAUAAAAGCAGCAGGGGUGUACGUAUGUGUGGGUGCGUGCUCAAAUGUGGCCGUAGUCAAGUUUCCAAUGCUGUUUUUCUUGACAAUAUAUUUAAGCUGGAAUAUUUCAACUAGUAGGACAUGCUCACUAUUUGAAUCAUUUUCUGGCUAGAAGUAGAAAGCAAUGCUAUAUUAUCCAAUUAUAACACAUUAUUUUGCAAUAGAGUGUGUUCUAAUACAAUAAAUUCCAUAUAGGUAGUAUAUACAUUAUUAUAGUAUCUUAUAUUUGAAAUACACUUUCUUACAAAACCUUCUUUUUUAUGGUUAAAGUUAAAAUAUUUUAAUGAUUUAUCUAAAAUUAGUUGUGAUUGCAAUAUCUGGACU